rnacentral:rRNA from 1 species
CAAACUGAAGAUGGCGACCGGCGCACGGUGAGUAACACGUAUCCAACCUGCCGAUAACUCCGGAAUAGCCUUUCGAAAGAAAGAUUAAUACCGGAUAGUAUACGAAUAUCGCAUGAUAUUUUUAUUAAAGAAUUUCGGUUAUCGAUGGGGAUGCGUUCCAUUAGUUUGUUGGCGGGGUAACGGCCCACCAAGACUACGAUGGAUAGGGGUUCUGAGAGGAAGGUCCCCCACAUUGGAACUGAGACACGGUCCAA